CCAAGUUCAGCAGUGGGUGACCAAAAUGAACAGGAAUCUGUAGAUGAGGAAGAGGAUCAGCCAGCCACAACAGGGAGGAAGAGCAGAAGGGAUCGGGACGACGAGCUGCUUAACCUCGUCAAAGAGGACAUGCAGUACCUGUCAUGGUCUCCGUGGCUGCCCGGCCGGCCCCACAAGGCUACAUGUUCUGUUUUGGUUCUCUCUCUCUCUCUCUCUCCCUCUCUGCCUGGGCGGAGCUCACUGCGGGCUCCCGCCCUUGGCCCACACACCUGUCAUCAAUCACCAGUCAUCACCAGGAGCACUACUUGAGGCUGGGACACAGAUCCUCUCAUCGCUGGAUGAUUGUGCUUAACACUUUUCCUCCCUGGACCUGUGACCUUCCCGCUGUGUGGUUGUGUGUGAGUUGGAGUAAGAGGAGGAGACGAGUGCGCGAGCGUUUUCCCCUGGAUCUUCCCUGGGACCCUUCUCCUACCCGGAUUUCCCCCACUGUACAUAUUCUGCACUUGGUGUUGUAAAUAAACUCUGUGUUGGAACUGA